rnacentral:rRNA from 1 species
GACGAACGCUGGCGGCGUGCUUAACACAUGCCAGUCGUACGGUAAGGCCCUUUCGGGGGUACACGAGUGGCGAACGGGUGAGUAACACGUGAGUAACCUGCCCACAACUUUGGGAUAACGCUAGGAAACUGGUGCUAAUACUGGAUAUGUGCUCCUGCUGCAUGGUGGGGGUUGGAAAGCUCCGGCGGUUGUGGAUGGACUCGCGGCCUAUCAGCUUGUUGGUGGGGUAGUGGCCUACCAAGGCGGCGACGGGUAGCCGGCCUGAGAGGGUGACCGGCCACAUUGGGACUGAGAUACGGCCCAGACUCCUACGGGAGGCAGCAGUGGGGAAUAUUGCACAAUGGGCGCAAGCCUGAUGCAGCAACGCCGCGGGCGGGAGGACGGCCUUCGGGUUGUAAACCGCUUUCAGCAGGGACGAAGCUUUUUGUGACGGUACCUGCAGAAGAAGCACCGGCUAACUACGUG